ACCAGUGCAAUGCUGGUAGUCAAAACCAAAAUUUGAAUGAAAAGGGUAGCAAACAAGACACAUCUCAGAACUUGAUUUUGUUGAUGUUGAUCCCAUCUACACAACUGAGAGCUGGUGUGUUAGCAGGGACUGCUUGGCUUGUUGGAUCUCCACCUAGGAGAUCCUAAUGUACUGUGUCACAACCUUCUUACCCAAAAUUCAUUUUACAGUACCAAGGUGUAUUUGAAAAAUAUUUCUGAGUCAUACAUGGCUUUAUCAGGAGUUCAUAAGGCUUUAACCCCUGACACUGUGUUUGGCACUGGCUGGUGCAACAUGUGGUUUGUGUCAUUUGGGUUGUCACUGUACAGACCCGGUGUGAUGCCCAGUUCAUCCCAAUGCCAGUGGCAUCUACCCUGAGAGCCGAGACUCUAAAUCUUUGAAACAUUCUGCUAAGAAGUAUAAUGCAAAAGCAUGGACUGUAGUCUAUAAAUAAUUUUGUUUGGCUUGCAGUAAAUUGAUCUUGUAAUGCAUCCUUGUUUAUUCUUAAGCCCAUAUCUGGCAGAAUUUAUAUUAAUAGUUGCUGAUGAGUCUAAGUUAUCUUUACUAAAUGCAGUAGACUUCAAAAGUAGCUAGGUUUUAUGAACUGCUGCUACCCUACUGGAAAGUUGAAAUAAAAGGGAAAAUAGCAAAGGCUUGAAUCUUAAACUCUUACUUUGUGUUGUGCUAGUUGCAGUUGCCAUGACUUACUUCACCAUGAAGCAGGGCUUACCUCAGUGAUGUCAGCAGAAAAAUUGAUUGACAAACUAAAUGCAAAAGUCUAUUGGGACAGCAGGUCAAGCAAAGAGAUUUAACACCUGAAGCAGGAGGUCACAUGUUAUUAACUACUGACAAAUGUAUUGUAACUUGAAUAUCAUGAGCAUGACAUACAGCUGGUUAAAACAAAAAGUUGUAGAAGUCUCAACCAGGCUCUAAAACUUAAGACCUAGUGGAUGAAUCCUACCGCUACUGUCACAGCACCAUAACAAGACACUGCUGAGCAAGUUUUUCUCUUGAAGGAUGAUUAAAUUAAUAGCAUGUGCCUGUUUUGAAGUUGACAGCAAGAAUAUAAGAGUUGUUUUCUGGAAGAAGGCUGCUGACUCUGGUAAGGCUUCACCAUCCCGUGGUUUCACCAGUCAAACUUGUUUACAUUCCUGCCUGUGUCUUUCAUUCCCUUCCAGUGAAAGUUUGCCACUCCCAACGAUGCCACUAAAAACAAGUGUCUGGUAGAGCUGUGGCCUGAAUCCCUGUAAGGACCUGACUUGAAAACAACAGUCAAAAAAAAGGUCAUGUUUACCUGCAUAAUUUCAGGGAUGUAUUGAAAGGGCAGCCUCACAAACAGGCACAGUAUCAUGACUGAAGGAGCACUAAAUUGGAAUAGAUAUAUGGAAACCCAAUGACGAGGGGCAAAGAGAUACAGGAAUUUCAUACAGCCAAACCAUCUUUAAAACCAUGCUGAUUACAAAGAUGCCUGAGUGUAGAGUAAACAUUAAUGCCAGAAAGCAACUGAAAGGAACAAAAUAUCUUGAGAUUUGUUCUAUCCAAUAUUUUCCAGCAUGAUCUCCAAGAACAGGAUUUUCACCUCCAGUAAGAAUUCAUAUGCUGAAAGUUACAAGAGUGACAAGAGAAGGAGGAGCUCAGAGAUAUGAGUUCAAGAGAACUGAGCAGACUAACGCAUGAUACUACAGUCCAGUUCAACCAGCAUCACUAGGAAGAAUGUGCAACUUUCCUAACAGAUGUUCAUUGAGUAAAAUGAGUCCCAUGAAGCCUCCACCAAAACUGGCAUUGGCAUUUUGGCAAAAUUUAAAAUGUUUAAUGCAGUGAAUUUGAUACAAACUCAGUUUUGAAAAAUCUUUGUUUCACUUCCUAAUGUAACAAAUGCUUUACUAUCUGUUCCUUGUAACGUAUAUAAAUACUCAUCAACUCAUUAAAUAAAUGCAUAAAGCCAGAUGGUGCAAA